GAUGAACGCUGGCGGCGUGCCUAAUACAUGCAAGUCGAGCGAACGGACGAGAAGCUUGCUUUUCUGAUGUUAGCGGCGGACGGGUGAGUAACACGUGGAUAACCUACCUAUAAGACUGGGAUAACUUCGGGAAACCGGAGCUAAUACCGGAUAAUAUUUUGAACCGCAUGGUUCAAAAGUGAAAGACGGUCUUGCUGUCACUUAUAGAUGGAUCCGCGCUGCAUUAGCUAGUUGGUAAGGUAACGGCUUACCAAGGCAACGAUGCAUAGCCGACCUGAGAGGGUGAUCGGCCACACUGGAACUGAGACACGGUCCAGACUCCUACGGGAGGCAGCAGUAGGGAAUCCUCCGCAAUGGGCGAAAGCCUGACGGAGCAACGCCGCGUGAGUGAUGAAGGUCUUCGGAUCGUAAAACUCUGUUAUUAGGGAAGAACAUAUGUGUAAGUAACUGUGCACAUCUUGACGGUACCUAAUCAGAAAGCCACGGCUAACUACGUGCCAGCAGCCGCGGUAAUACGUAGGUGGCGAGCGUUAUCCGGAAUUAUUGGGCGUAAAGCGCGCGUAGGCGGUUUUUUAAGUCUGAUGUGAAAGCCCACGGCUCAACCGUGGAGGGUCAUUGGAAACUGGAAAACUUGAGUGCAGAAGAGGAAAGUGGAAUUCCAUGUGUAGCGGUGAAAUGCGCAGAGAUGUGGAGGAACACCAGUGGCGAAGGCGACUUUCUGGUCUGUAACUGACGCUGAUGUGCGAAAGCGUGGGGAUCAAACAGGAUUAGAUACCCUGGUAGUCCACGCCGUAAACGAUGAGUGCUAAGUGUUAGGGGGUUUCCGCCCCUUAGUGCUGCAGCUAACGCAUUAAGCACUCCGCCUGGGGAGUACGACCGCAAGGUUGAAACUCAAAGGAAUUGACGGGGGCCCGCACAAGCGGUGGAGCAUGUGGUUUAAUUCGAAGCAACGCGAAGAACCUUACCAAAUCUUGACAUCCUUUGACAACUCUAGAGAUAGAGCCUUCCCCUUCGGGGGACAAAGUGACAGGUGGUGCAUGGUUGUCGUCAGCUCGUGUCGUGAGAUGUUGGGUUAAGUCCCGCAACGAGCGCAACCCUUAAGCUUAGUUGCCAUCAUUAAGUUGGGCACUCUAAGUUGACUGCCGGUGACAAACCGGAGGAAGGUGGGGAUGACGUCAAAUCAUCAUGCCCCUUAUGAUUUGGGCUACACACGUGCUACAAUGGACAAUACAAAGGGCAGCGAAACCGCGAGGUCAAGCAAAUCCCAUAAAGUUGUUCUCAGUUCGGAUUGUAGUCUGCAACUCGACUACAUGAAGCUGGAAUCGCUAGUAAUCGUAGAUCAGCAUGCUACGGUGAAUACGUUCCCGGGUCU
rnacentral:rRNA from 1 species